rnacentral:tRNA from 1 species
AGUCAAUGAGCUUGUAAAGCAUAUAUUUUGAAAAUAUAAGAAAGGUUCCUUUAACCUAUUGGCUU